UGGUGCUUUUGAAGAGGGGAACCAUUAUUCCUGUCCACAGUGCAUGUGUCCUGCUCUCCUCACAAAUGUUUGACACCCAGUCUCGUAGGUCAGUCUGGAUGUCAUUACAUGGAUCCACUUGAUGAACUUCCUUUGUGUCUUCAUCUGGAAUGAUGAUGGAGUCUUCUGCAAUCUGGGUUUUCAGGUAUUUUUUGCACCUCUCUGAUUCAAGAGGGGUUCCAGAACUGUCAUCACCUUCUGCCUCACUGAGAGCCACGACAGUGAUGGCAUGAAUUAGCUGCUUUGCAUGGUCCAAGCUUUGUGCCUGAAGAAGCUUUGCUAUUCCCCUGACAAAGAAGUCUUUGACACGGUGUGACUUGUUUUUCAGGCAGUCCCACUGGCAGACCAUCUUUAUGCAGUGUGCAACAUCAACCCUGAUAUAACAGGAAGGAAGUUUUGCAGACUGGUUCCCAAGUAGCACAUGGAAGCAUUCAUCAAUGUAUGAUUUCAGGUUAGGACAAGGAGUGAAGGCCUUCACCAGAGCACCAAGAAUAGCCAGGGAAAAGUCACUCACAGCUUCUUUUGAACACCUUGGUAUAAGAAGAUGUGGCCAGAUGUACCAUUUGGUCUUGCCAGUUUUCUGACAACUGAACCAGUUGCAUCAAAGCAAACUACUGAGGGACAUUUUUUGGUUGCCAGGUUUGGAGGGUGACUUGGCUCGGGAUCUCCAAUAUCCAUCAACUCUGAUGCCUUUGCUGACCUCCAUACAGAUGGUUCCAUCCUGCCCUCACACAACUCUUCUGAAAUCUGUGCACGAAGGGUUCCUGACAUGAAUCUUUUGGACUGGCCAGUGUGCAGGGAGAUGUCGGCGCCUUCAAUGGAACACUGGAGCACCAUUGGGCUGUUGACCGUUGGCUCUCUGUCACAUGUCAUUUUAACACGACUUUGACACUCUUUACAGAAACCUGUGAUGUCAAUGUACUUACUAGUGACAGUUGGAUAAACUUUUGCUCUUUGGAAUACAAAUGUACAAGUGCUUUUCAACUUUUUCCAAACCAGAUCAUUAAUUAUAUGACUCCAUGUGCCAGGUUUUAAAAUUGUGUAAUUCCUUUUACAAGAUGAUGAAAACUUGUCAUUAUAUUCAACUUUUUGUGGUAUAAAUUUAAUCCAUUCUUCAAAUGGAACGUCGAGCUGAAAAUCUGAACAUUGACCAGGAGAAGUGGUGUCUGAGUCAAACUCUGUGUCCACAGGGCUUUCAGGAUCACUUCCUUGAUUAACUUCCAAGCAUGACCAGAUGUUGUGUCUGUUCAGCUUUACAAAUGUGUACAGACUUUUUGCAGACAUUUUUGUCCCCAACUGCUGACUUAUCUCUGUACAUGACAGCGGCAGCUGGAGUAGCUAUAUGGCCGUUUUCUAGAAUGGCCUCUUUUGAGUUGCAAAGAACUGCGAAUAGAGACUCUCUGUCUACCGCUGGCUGUCGAGGCAUCUAGUUAAAAAAAUAAAAAGGCUUUGAUUAGCAUUGCUUAAAAUAAUCAGUGCCUACAUGAUUUCAAAAAAGCCACAAAUUGUAUUCUAGCAGUGUUUGCACACUUAAAAUAGUCUUGACUUUAAAAAAAUCAAUUUGGUUUUCCCAGUUUAAUUUCUAAUAUUUAAGCUAAUUAAAAAAUAUAUAAUUCAAUAAUGCAUUGUUACUUGAAAAUGUAAGUACCUGUUAAAUUUUAAUUUUCCUUUGGAAUACAUUUUUUAAUUGAAUUCAGAAGAUGUGCCCUUUGUGCAUAUGCUUAAAUGUUAAUGAUUCAAUAUAAAUGUAAAGGCUGCAAGAUGAUGCCUCACUAUGUUUAAAAAGGUUUGAAAUA